rnacentral:rRNA from 1 species
AUCCGCCCGUACCGUAAACCGACACAGGUAGGCGGGGAGAGAAUCCUAAGGUGCGCGGGAAAACCCUCGUUAAGGAACUCGGCAAAUUGCAUCCGUAACUUCGGGAGAAGGAUGGCCCUGAGUAGGCGAAGUGCAGAAACGCACGGAACAGAAAAGGGUGGCAGAAAAGAGGCCCAAGCAACUGUUUACCAAAAACACAGGUGCCUGCGAAAGCGAAAGCUGAAGUAUAGGUGCUGACGCCUGCCCGGUGCUGGAAGGUUAAGGAGAGAGGUUAGCGCAAGCGAAGCUUUGAACUGAAGCCCCAGUGAACGGCGGCCGUAACUAUAACGGUCCUAAGGUAGCGAAAUUCCUUGUCGGGUAAGUUCCGACCCGCAUGAAAGGCGUAAUGAUUUGGGCGCUGUCUCAACGAGGGGCCCGGUGAAAUUGAAAUACCUGUGAAGAUGCAGGUUACCCGCGACUGGACAGAAAGACCCCAUGGAGCUUUACUGCAGCUUGAGAUUGAAUCCCGGUGGCAGACGCACAGGAUAGGUGGGAGGCUUUGAGAUAGUGACUUUGGUUGCUAUGGAGCCGACGUUGGGAUACCACCCUUCUGUUGCUGGGAUUCUAACGCGAAGAUUAACAACCUUGCGGACCAUCUCAGGUAGGCGGUUUGACUGGGGCGGUCGCCUCCGAAAGAGUAACGGAGGCGCCCAAAGGUUCCCUCAGGCCGGACAGAAACCGGCCGAAGAGUGCAAAGGCAGAAGGGAGCUUGACUGCGAGACAGACAAGUCGAGCAGAGACGAAAGUCGGGCUUAGUGAUCCGGUGGUACUGCGUGGAAAGGCCAUCGCUCAACGGAUAAAAGCUACCCUGGGGAUAACAGGCUAAUCUCUCCCAAGAGUUCAUAUCGACGGGGAGGUUUGGCACCUCGAUGUCGGCUCAUCACAUCCUGGAGCUGGAGUAGGUUCCAAGGGUUGGGCUGUUCGCCCAUUAAAGUGGUACGCGAGCUGGGUUCAAAACGUCGUGAGACAGUUUGGUUCAUAUCCAUCGCGGGCGCAAGAAGUUUGAGGGAGGCUGCUCCUAGUACGAGAGGACCGGAGUGGACGGAUCAACGGUGUACCAGUUGUCACGCCAGUGGCACGGCUGGAAAGCCGCAUCCGGAA